CUAACUAUUAGCUGUUAGCUUUGCCUGAACCUGAACGAGGGUCUGGUUUUUCAAGGGUGCAGAGCCUGGUUCGCUGAGCCUGGCCUCCAAAGCUAUAAACAGGCCAUAUUAUAAGUAUCAUUGUUACAAAAGGAGGAGCUGAAAAUGUGACAUACUGAGCAGGAAAGUGCAGGAGGACGGAUGAAGAAGCCUUACUGCUAGUGAUUCAGCUACGCUAAGAGCUACGCUAAUAGCUUCGCAAGCUAGUGAAUCCCUAAAGACACACCUGGCAGCGACGCAUCCUUUCAUCUCACCAACACACACUGAAGUCACCAACACAGCUGCAGGCUGAAGGAGCUGCAUCGGGAAUAAACAUCUUAUUGGUCUGUAAAGACGUUUUCAUUAACAGAAGUGAAGCACAAUGACAGAAGAAUAAGUCACUUCGUGGGAUUUGAUGCAAACCUCGUACUCACAGGCUGAGCUGCUUCCAAGACGGGUGGAAGAAAACAAAACAAGCGGCGAUUACAGAUUUGUGAUUUCAGCCGUCGCGUGAAAGAUUCUAGGAGCGAAUCUUUACAGAAACAGCAAGAUGGAGACGGACAACCCUCCCAGCAGCCUGUCCACUCCUAGCAACAGCAACCGAACACUUCCUGCGCACAGACCUCACGAACACCCCACUGGCCACCCAGGAGCCAGGAAACCCCACACUCGGACCAAUGCAGGGAAAACAACUAGCUGCUCCCUUUAUGUGUCACCACGGCGAAUGAUCUCCUCCUAUCCCAGCAUCCUCCUCUGUCACACCAGCCCUCUGCAUGUCCUCCUUCAUCCAUGACCCUCCUCUGAGAUCUUGCUCCUUUCCUCCAGCCUGGCAGCUCCAUCUUUAACAGCCUUUGUCCCCCUGCACAUGUCCAGCCCACCUCCACCUCUCUGACUCUCAGCUGUCCGUCUGAUGGACUGAGCACCUUCAGCUGGGCCUCCUUACUGCCACCGUCUCCAAACUGUACAUCCCAGCAGGUCUCACUACCAUCUUGUAAACCUCUCUCUCUCUAUCCUUCUGUCAUAAUCACCCAGCACUCGCCUCCACCCACUCCACCCUGCCUAUGGAUUCCCAGAACACCGGCACUAGGAGCACACCGGGUGUUCUGGGAAUCCAUCCUACCUGACAAACCAUCCUACCCGUUGUUUCUGCGCAUGCACACAACACGAAAUUAAGUGGCGAACCAUCCUGGCUGAAUAUGAGCUACAAGCAUACUCUGAUGGGCAAAGUUAAGUGGCAAACCGUCAUACCUACUUACAUUUGUGCUGGAAUUACUCUGUGACAGCAGAAAUGUGCAUAAACUACUUACAGUAGGAUGUUUUGCCAAAGUAGGAUGGUUUGUCAGAACACCGGCUCUGCUCCCCGCCCCUCCCACCCCUGAAAAUGUAAAGCUAUUAAAUAUGUCUGACUAUGAAACAGUCUGAAAAUUAAAA